UGGGGAAUAUUGCGCAAUGGGGGGAACCCUGACGCAGCCAUGCCGCGUGAAUGAAGAAGGCCUUCGGGUUGUAAAGUUCUUUUGGUAUUGAGGAAGGUUGAUGUGUUAAUAGCACAUCAAAUUGACGUUAAAUACAGAAGAAGCACCGGCUAACUCCGUGCCAGCAGCCGCGGUAAUACGGAGGGUGCGAGCGUUAAUCGGAAUAACUGGGCGUAAAGGGCACGCAGGCGGUUAUUUAAGUGAGGUGUGAAAGCCCCGGGCUUAACCUGGGAAUUGCAUUUCAGACUGGGUAACUAGAGUACUUUAGGGAGGGGUAGAAUUCCACGUGUAGCGGUGAAAUGCGUAGAGAUGUGGAGGAAUACCGAAGGCGAAGGCAGCCCCUUGGGAAUGUACUGACGCUCAUGUGCGAAAGCGUGGGGAGCAAACAGGAUUAGAUACCCUGGUAGUCCACGCUGUAAACGCUGUCGAUUUGGGGGUUGGGGUUUAACUCUGGCGCCCGUAGCUAACGUGAUAAAUCGACCGCCUGGGGAGUACGGCCGCAAGGUUA
rnacentral:rRNA from 1 species